UUAGAGAGGUUUACGUCCUCGGGGCCUCG
rnacentral:sRNA from 1 species